GGGGGACGAGCACGCUGACAGGGAGGAACAUCAAGCUGAAACUUUCUCUGAAUUCAGUUAUUCUUCCCUUACAACAGUGCUUUACGACCCGAAAGCCUUCAUCACACACGCGGCGUCGCUCCGUCACACUUUCGUGCAUUGCGGAAAAUUCCCUACUGCUGCCUCCCGUAGGAGUAGG
rnacentral:rRNA from 1 species